rnacentral:rRNA from 1 species
UACAGAGGGUGCAAGCGUUGUUCGGAAUUAUUGGGCGUAAAGCGCGUGUAGGCGGCUUUGCAAGUCGGGUGUGAAAGCCCUCAGCUUAACUGAGGAAGUGCGCCCGAAACUGCAGAGCUUGAGUACCGGAGAGGGUGGCGGAAUUCCCCAAGUAGAGGUGAAAUUCGUAGAUAUGGGGAGGAACACCGGUGGCGAAGGCGACCACCUGGACGGAUACUGACGCUGAGACGCGAAAGCGUGGGUAGCAAACAGG